AAUAAGCCCUUUAUCUGCACAAUGGAUACAAUUGGUGCCAAUGAAAAUGUGCAGAGAAUUGGAGGUGUGGGGCUUACUAUACACGAAGAACUUACUGGACAGGGAUCUUUCGAGCAAUAAUUUUUCAGGAUAGGUGCCAUCUUCUAUUGCUGAUCUGGAGCAUCCGCCUACCUUGUAAGUAAAACUGGCUUGCUCUGAAGAGUCGGUUCAGUUUCCUAAUAUCAACUCCUUAUAAGGCCCUG